rnacentral:rRNA from 1 species
GGCUUUUUGAUAAUAAUUUAAGGUCGGACCUGCCCAAUGAUAAAAUAUUGAAUGGCCGCGGUAUUUUGACCGUGCAAAGGUAGCAUAAUCAUUAGUUUUUUAAUUGAAAGCUUGUAUGAAAGGUUUAAUGAAAAAAAAGCUGUCUCUAUUUUAAUUUUUUAGAAAUUGAUUUUUAAGUUAAAAAGCUUAAAUGGGUAUUAAAGACGAGAAGACCCUAUAGAGUUUUAUAUUUUUAUGGAAUUAUUAUAUUUUAGGAUUAUUUUAAUAAUUUUUUAAAAUUAUUUAGUUGGGGUGAUUAAAAAAUUAGUUAAACUUUUUUAUGUGGAAUUACAUUAAUUUAUGAGUUUUUGAUCCUUUCAGAAGAUUAAUAGAUAAAAUUACCUUAGGGAUAACAGCGUAAUUUUUUUUAGAGUUCUUAUCAAAAGGAAAGAUUGCGACCUCGAUGUUGGAUUAAAAUUUAUUGUUGGUGUAGGAGCUGAUAAGUUAGGUCUGUUCGACCUUUAAAUUUUUACAUGAUCUGAGUUUAAACCGGUGUGAG